rnacentral:rRNA from 1 species
UCCUACGGGAGGCAGCAGUGAGGAAUUUUCCGCAAUGGGCGAAAGCCUGACGGAGCAAUACCGCGUGAGGGAUGAAGGAUUUUGGUCUGUAAACCUCUUUUCUCAAGAAAGAAGUUCUGACGGUACUUGAGGAAUAAGCAUCGGCUAACUCCGUGCCAGCAGCCGCGGUAAUACGGGGGAUGCAAGCGUUAUCCGGAAUCAUUGGGCGUAAAGCGCCUGUAGGUGGUUUAUUAAGUCUGUUGUUAAAGACUAGGGCUCAACCCUAGAAAAGCAAUGGAAACUAACAGACUUGAGUAUGGUAGGGGUAGAGGGAAUUUCUAGUGUAGCGGUGAAAUGCGUAGAUAUUAGGAAGAACACCAGUGGCGAAAGCGCUCUACUGGACCAUUACUGACACUCAGAGGCGAAAGCUAGGGUAGCAAAAGGGAUUAGAUACCCCUGUAGUCCUAGCCGUAAACGAUGGAUACUAGAUGUUGCGCAUAUCGUGCAGUGUCCUAGCUAACGCGUUAAGUAUCCCGCCUGGGGAGUACGCUCGCAAGGGUGAAACUCAAAUGAAUUGACGG